rnacentral:misc_RNA from 1 species
GGAGUUUAAAUGGGGAUGUGGGUAAGUAGAUGUUAAUUAUUUCUCAUCUUUUGUUAUUUAGUAUCAACUAUCUUUGUCUAUUGGUUAUACUUCUUUGAACUUUUUCUUUUCUGUAAAGGUCAGAGAUUAUAUCUUGUUGACUCAUAUGAUAUAUAGAUAUGCAUAAAUCCUUUGCUUCUUCUGUCCUAUUAUCUAUAUCUAUUGCUUGUAGCCAUUUUUUUGGUGAUAUCACCCUUUCCUUUUCCCUCCUUUUCUUUGAGAUAAAGGCAAGAUUCAUUAUGCAUUGCUUAUAGGUAAAGAAUAGUGGCUCAUGCAUCCCUUAAGUGGUAGAUUCAAGUGGAUAUACAGUCAAUUAUCUGGAUUGAGUAAAAGAAAUCAAGUUAGGAAUGGCAACAUGUAUUAUGAGAUGUGAGAAGAAGUUUCGAGGUAGUGAUGUUGAUUUGCGUAAAGUGUUAGUUAGGAUGAGGUGAAAUGAGUAAAUUAGUUCAAAGUGAUGGGAAAGUAUUAGAGGUGUGGGCUUUCGGCUCCAGUUUGGUUCUGUCUAAGAACUGAAACCGAACGGAAUUGAACUUUUGGUAUAGUUCUAGUUUGGCUCUUCGAUGUUUUGGUUUUGAUUCGGUUUGGUUCCUUAAACAAUUUUAUGCAAUUGUUGUUAUAGAAAGUUAUACUUGAAUUACCAUUUAAUUUUUAAAGUUGAUUGCUAAUAUAUAGUAUAUUAUAUAAUAUACUUUUUAGCUUAGUGUAAUCAAGGUGAAAUGUGACAAUGUACCCUAUGGCUUUAGGCGAGGCGAG